rnacentral:rRNA from 1 species
GACGAACGCUGGCGGCGUGCUUAACACAUGCAAGUCGAGCGGUAAGGCCCUUUCGGGGGUACACGAGCGGCGAACGGGUGAGUAACACGUGGGUGACCUGCCCUCAGCUCUGGGAUAAGCCUGGGAAACCGGGUCUAAUACUGGAUAUGACUCCAUGACGCAUGUUGGUGGGGUGGAAAGCCUUGUGCGGCUGAGGAUGGGCCCGCGGCCUAUCAGCUUGUUGGUGGGGUGAGGCCUACCAAGGCGACGACGGGUAGCCGGCCUGAGAGGGCGACCGGCCACACUGGGACUGAGACACGGCCCAGACUCCUACGGGAGGCAGCAGGUGGGGAAUCUUGCGCAAUGGGCGAAAGCCUGACGCAGCGACGCCGCGUGAGGGAUGACGGCCUGGU